rnacentral:rRNA from 1 species
AGUCGACGGGGCUUCGGCUUAGUGGCGGACGGGUGAGUAACGCGUAGGAACGUAUCCACGGGUGGGGGAUAACGCUGGGAAACUGGCGCUAAUACCGCAUGAUGCCUGAGGGCCAAAGCUUUAGCGCCUGUGGAGCGGCCUGCGUACGAUUAGCUAGUUGGUGGGGUAAAGGCCUACCAAGGCUACGAUCGUUAGCUGGUCUGAGAGGACGAUCAGCCACACUGGGACUGAGACACGGCCCAGACUUCUACGGGAGGCAGCAGUUGGGAAUAUUGGACAAUGGGCGCAAGCUGAUCCAGCAAUGCCGCGUGGGUGAAGAAGGUCUUCGGAUUGUAAAGCCCUUUCGACAGGGACGAUGAUGACGGUACCUGUAGAAGAAGCCCCGGCUAACUUCGUGCCAACAGCCGCGGUAAUACGGAGGGGGGCUAGCGUUACUCGGAAUGACUGGGCGUAAAGGGCGCGUAGGCUGUUUGGUAAGUUGGGCGUGAAAUUCCUGGGGCUUAACCUGGGGGCUGCGUCCAAGACUGCCUGGCUUGAGGAUGGAAGAGGCUCGUGGGAAUUCCCAGUGUAGAGGUGAAAUUCGUAGAUAUUGGGAAGAACACCGGUGGCGAAGGCGGCGAGCUGGUCCAUUACUGACGCUGAGGCGCGAUA